UGGCGUAAGUCUAAUUAUAGGAGAUGAGUUUUGAACAGGGGUAGGUUCUGGGAGAACUUGGUAUGGAAAGUUGUUUUUGUUCUUCUGGACAUCCUUUUCAAUAGAAAAACUAGGUUUUCGUAUCGGCGAAGGUGAAAGGAUGAAAAAAUAAAAUUUUUAAAAAUUAAGAAUAAUAUAUUCCUAAAGUUGACAAGGAAGGCAAGGAAAAAAAGGAAUAAAAUUUUAGGCGUGAAGAAAACACGCAUAACUGAGGAAUUUGUUCUUCGUCGUCUGCUUCUACUUGUGUUACAUUUCUGCUACAGGAAGACUAACUCAUAUCACAUCGUAAAUUAGAGUCAUAAAGCUCUCAACUUUUUGCCACAAAUGAGUGACCCUAAAUAUGCAUAUCCCUACCCUGCUCAAGGACAAGGGUACUAUCAAGGUCCUCCGGUGAUGGCACCACCGCAAUAUUAUGCUGCUCCACCACCCAGAAGACAAACUGGAUUCCUUGAAGGAUGUCUUGCAGCUCUGUGUUGUUGCUGCCUCAUAGACGAGUGCUGCUGUGACCCUUCGAUCAUAUUCAUCAGUUGACAGCAUCAGAGUUUAUUACUACAAGUGGAAAAUUUAAAUAAAGAAGCUACGAAUAUGCACAGGCUCUAUUAGUUAGUAUGAUAUCUGUACUGCAUAUUUUUACUUUGGAUAAUGAUACUUAGAAAUAAUUUCUUGAACAUGUCAGAAUGAUUCUUAUGAAGUUAAAAUGUUAACGUUGUAAAAACAUUGUCUAAUUAUCAUUAUCUUUUUACUUUAUA